CAUUGCUUCACUCGGCCUCCGCUGUGAACCCGCUUUGGCUGAGAGGGGUGGAGAGGGGCCAGUUUUGCGGAGGAAGCGGCUGUGAGCGAGUGAAGUGGAAGGAAUGGUCACCGGGAGCCUCAUAACGCACCCUUGCACCAUCGUUACUGAGGGAAGGCGGAGAGCUGAACCAAGUGGACCCAGGGGACGCCCACGGAGCUCAUGGUAAGGGCAGCUGUGUGGAGGCUUGCCUGGGUUGACCGUCUGGGUUGGAGUCGGCGGGCACGAUGGCUUGCUGACUUCACAAUGCAGGUCACCUCUGCUUGGUGUGGCCGAGUCAGGAGUUCAACCCUCCAACAGGCACUGCUACAGUCCAGGUGCUUGGUGUGGGCGAGUCAGGAGUUCAACCCUCCAACAGGCACUGCUACAGUCCAGGUGCUUGGUGUAGCCGAGUCAGGAGUUCAACCCUCCAACAGGCACUGCUACAGUCCAGGAUGGAGAGUCAUGGAGCACAGUGGUGGGAGAACUCAGCCGUCAGUCCCGGCCCAGGAACUGUCAGGGAAAAGGAAGUUGGUUCAUCAGCUCUGAAGGGAGUGUGUCACUGCUUCUCAUACACUCCACCAAGGAGGCAUCUCUUUGGCUGAAUGGUAAAGGAGUGGCUUUUCUAUCUCACUGGUCAUGGGUUUGAUCCCGGCACCGGUGAAACCCUUUACGGGUCGUGUGUUUUGUGACAGGCAGAGGUCAUAUUUAGGGUAUAAUGAAGUUGAAAUUGCUGCCACCACAUUCAUUACCCAAAUUUCACUUCACUACACCUUCACAUGACCUCUGUGUGUUAUGGGACACACAAGAAAUUACUCCAGGCCAGGAAAGGUUUACCGGUGCUGGGGACUGAACCUGUGACUGCCAGAUGGGAAAGUCACUCCUUAACCAGCCAGCCAAAGACGUGCCCUCUCAUAGAGUGAGUUUGGGAGGGUUUCCCCGCAGGCGAGUCAGGCACUACAGUAAUGUGGCAGCAUUUUGUUACUAUCAUCAACACUGUAGGAUCAGUAGUAAUCUACUGACAAAUAUUAUUUUCCUCCCAA